UAUUAGGGUUAAUUUAUCUAGGGUUAAUCCCCACCGGUGGCUCCUCCCUCCGCAUUAUGUCUCGCUCUCGUCUUCUCGUUCUAACCACCGCCGCCACCACCACCGAUGCUCUCCUCCCCCAGAUUCCUCCACUAGCCGUCUCCCUUCCUCGUCUCCCCCCAUCCGUUCGGCUGUCUGCACGCCGGCGACGGGGUGCCUGCCAUCCGGACGCGACAGCGCGGACUCGAGCAACGGAGCCCGGGUCGUGCGCGUCCACGUCGUGACCUCGACGCCGCCGUCCAGGAGCUCGGCCCCAUCUAAAGGAGAUCCCUCUGCUAGCCUAGUCGCCACCGCAGAAUCCUAAUGGCAGGAGGAGCUGAGGCUGCUGGACCUGUACUUCGUGGAGGAAGAGGGACUUGAACCCUUGGGUUGAGCUGCAGGACAAGGGGUUCUGGUGUGGCGCCCUCGUCGCCCGGAUUCACCGCCGGCACCGGCAGCCACGCCACUGCUGAUGUCGCUGCCGCCUCAGCCCCUCGGGCAUGGACGACCAGGACGUCCUUGAGCGGGUUCUUGCUCUGCUGCACUCUCGUUUACUGCAGGAAUUUUUUGUUUUGCAAUCACAAACUGGAUCAAUGUUGCUUAAAAGUUUUGUACCUGUAGUUGAUACCAGCAUCUUGAUUUUGUAGUUGAUACUAGCUGCCUUUAACACUUGUGUCCAGUGAGGAAUCAAGAACUGACUUGCUGCACUAAUCGCCAUGAACACGUAGUAACCAGAAUGCUUAAUCUGGGCUCUUAUUGAAUGAACCCUUCUAGGAGUGGGCUGAUUUCAGUACUAGCAUUGUCUGGAGUUGACAACCUCCGUCCGGAAAUACUUGUCACUGAAAUGAAUGUAUCUUGAUGCAGUUAA